GCGUCAUCACCGGGGAUGAACAACUUUUGUCACGUGACCGCAAAAGUCAACGCCGGUUGCAGAAACAGAUUGUAAUCUUGUACAUUAAGAAACAUGACGCUCGUGUGUGAAAUCUGUGGAAAGACAUUUAAAUCGAAGUGGGGGUUAAAGCUUCAUGAUAAGCGCCACAGAGGGACUGGACGAUUCGCCUGUUGUGGAAAAACAUUUUACACAAAACAGGCGUUCAACAGACACAGAUGCAGCAUUCAUGGUGUUGAAAAGCCGUUCCCCUGUGAACAAUGCGGCAAAAAGUUUUCAACCAAAGAUGACCUGAAUCGUCACGUCCGGAGGGAGGUUGCUGCAAAGCAAUUUACCUGCUCAAUUUGCAAUGCAACGCUCCGGGAGAAAAUUGACCUUCAGGCCCACCUUGCCACCCACAAUGGAGAGAAAAACUUUGCUUGUGAUAUGUGUGAAAAGAGGUACAGGCACCGCAGUAGUCUAUCAAAGCACAGAUCUGCAAAGCACCGGGCCUAGUCAUCUGUUGCAUGACGAUGAUAAGACCAAGAAUUAUUUUUAAUUCUUACCAAUGUGCCGUGGUUAUUUUCUUAAUUAUUGAAAAUACAGACUGUCAUACAAUAAUAUAUAGUAUUACGCGUGUUUUUGCGUCUUAAACAUUGUGUUUCAUAUCGUUUAUCUUGUGUUGUUUUGUUUGAUAUUCCUGUUUUUAAUAAGAUUAUUGUUGUAAUAUUUAUCAUUCUAAUUUAAAAUGAUUAUGAUAAUGGUUGAUCUCAUACAAAUUAUUGUGUUCAUUAUUGCUCAUCUGUGAUUACUGUUGAUCUCAGCCCAUGAAUUGUGAUUUAUAUUGAUUAUCUGUGAUUAUUGUUGAUCUUAUCAAAAUAAUUGUAAUUUAUGUUGAUUAUCUGUGAAUUUUUUAUCUUAACCUAUUAAUAGUGAUUUAUAUUAUCUGUGAUUAUUGUUGAUCUUAUCAAAAUCAUUGUGAUUUAUGUUGAUUAUCUGUGAUUAUUGUUGAUCUCAACCGAUUAAUUGUGAUUUAUAUAACCAGUGAUUAUUGUUGAUCUUUUCAAAAUCAUUGUAAUUUAUGUUGAUUAUCUGUGAUUAUUGUUGAUCUUUUCGAAAUCAUUGUAAUUUAUGUUGAUUAUCUGUGAUUAUUGUUGAUCUUUUCAAAAUCAUUGUAAUCUAUGUUGAUUAUCUGUGAUUAUUGUUGAUCUUUUCAAAAUCAUUGUAAUUAAUGUUGAUUAUCUGUGAUUAUUGUUGAUCUUUUCAAAAUCAUUGUAAUUUAUGUUGAUUAUCUGUGAUUAUUGUUGAUCUUUUCGAAAUCAUUGUAAUUUAUGUUGAUUAUCUGUGAUUAUUGUUGAUCUUUUCAAAAUCAUUGUAAUCUAUGUUGAUUAUCUGUGAUUAUUGUUGAUCUUUUCAAAAUCAUUGUAAUCUAUGUUGAUUAUCUGUGAUUAUUGUUGAUCUUUUCAAAAUCAUUGUAAUUAAUGUUGAUUAUCUGUGAUUAUUGUUGAUCUUUUCAAAAUCAUUGUAAUUUAUGUUGAUUAUCUGUGAUUAUUGUUGAUCUUUUCAAAAUCAUUGUAAUUAAUGUUGAUUAUCUGUGAUUAUUGUUGAUCUUUUCAAAAUCAUUGUAAUCUAUGUUGAUUAUCUGUGAUUAUUGUUGAUCUUUUCAAAAUCAUUGUAAUUAAUGUUGAUUAUCUGUGAUUAUUGUUGAUCUUUUCAAAAUCAUUGUAAUUUAUGUUGAUUAUCUGUGAUUAUUGUUGAUCUCACCAUAUCCGCUGGAAUAUACAUUUGAGCCGCGCUCUGUGAAAAGGGGGUUUAAUGCAUGUGCGUAAAGUGCAGUCCACAUAGGCUAAUCAGGGACGGCACUUUCCGCUUUUAUGAUAUGUUUUGUUAAAAGAAAGUCUCUUCUGAGCAAAAAUCGAGUUUAUCGGAAAGGUUUGUCCCUAAUUAGCCUGUACGGAAUGCACAGGCUAAUAUGUGACGACACCUUACGCACAUGCAUUAAACCCCCUUUUCACAGAGCGAGACUCAUUUGUAAUCUGCGAUUUUUGUUUAUCUAUUUCGAAUCAAUAUGAUUAAAAUAUAUUUUUGGUGAGUUAGCUUUUUGUCUCAUUGGAAUCAUUGUGCGAAUUGUCAACAAUUACAUGUAAAUCUGUAAUUCCUUCUCAAGUUGCACAUAGGCCAGUUUAAUGUUUUGCGUAUAAGCUAUUAUUGCGAUACGGGAUAUUCUUUGCAGCAAUAAAACAAUUAAUCUGCA